rnacentral:tRNA from 1 species
GCUCCAGUGGCGCAAUCGGUUAGCGCGCGGUGCUUAUAAGACAGUGCAGUGCUUAGCAUUGAUGAGGUUGUGAGUUCGAGCCUCACCUGGAGCA